UACGGAGGGUCCAAGCGUUAUCCGGAAUCAUUGGGUUUAAAGGGUCCGUAGGCGGUUUUGUAAGUCAGUGGUGAAAGCCCAUCGCUCAACGGUGGAACGGCCAUUGAUACUGCAAGACUUGAAUUACUAGGAAGUAACUAGAAUAUGUAGUGUAGCGGUGAAAUGCUUAGAUAUUACAUGGAAUACCAAUUGCGAAGGCAGCUUACUACGCAUAUAUUGACGCUGAGGCACGAAAGCGUGGGGAUCAAACAGG
rnacentral:rRNA from 1 species